UAUUCUAAUAAGGAUCAUUAAUUGAAAAUUAGCCAUCCAAAAUCUUCAUCAUAGUUAAAUAAAAUAUCUAAUUAAUUAAUUAAAUUAAUAUCUAAUUAAUUAAUUAAAUAUCUAAUUAAAAUUAAUUAAUAUAUUAAAAUAAAAUGAUUUUUAUCGAUGGCUUUAUUGCCGUCGUCGCUAAUACUCGUCAAAAGAAUGGGUUCGC
rnacentral:lncRNA from 1 species